rnacentral:misc_RNA from 1 species
UCCGGUUUGUUACCGGCAGUCACCUUAGAGUGCCCAACUAAAUGCUGGCAACUAAGAUCAAGGGUUGCGCUCGUUGCGGGACUUAACCCAACAUCUCACGACACGAGCUGACGACAACCAUGCACCACCUGUCACUUUGUCCCCCGAAGGGGAAAGCCCUAUCUCUAGGGUGGUCAAAGGAUGUCAAGACCUGGUAAGGUUCUUCGCGUUGCUUCGAAUUAAACCACAUGCUCCACUGCUUGUGCGGGCCCCCGUCAAUUCCUUUGAGUUUCAGCCUUGCGGCCGUACUCCCCAGGCGGGGCACUUAAUGCGUUAGCGCCGGCCCUCGGGGGGUCGCUCCCCCAAGCGCCUAGUGCCCAUCGUUUACGGCGUGGACUAC